rnacentral:rRNA from 1 species
GGUUCGAUCCUUGGCUCAGAUUGAACGCUGGCGGGAUGCUUUACACAUGCAAGUCGAACGGCAGCACGGACUUCGGUCUGGUGGCGAGUGGCGAACGGGUGAGUAAUGUAUCGGAACGUGCCUAGUAGCGGGGGAUAACUACGCGAAAGCGUAGCUAAUACCGCAUACGCCCUUCGGGGAAAGCGGGGGGACCUUUCGGGCCUCGCACUAUUAGGAGCGGCCGAUAUCGGAUUAGCUAGUUGGUGGGGUAACGGCUCACCAAGGCGACGAUCCGUAGCUGGUUUGAGAGGACGACCAGCCACACUGGGACUGAGACACGGCCCAGACUCUACGGGAGGCAGCAGUGGGGAAUUUUGGACAAUGGGAAACCCCGAUCCAGCCAUCCCCGCGUGUGCGAUGAAGGCCUUCGGGUUGUAAAGCACUUUUGGCAGGAAAAGAAACGGCACGGGAUAAUACCCCGUGCAACUGACGGUACCUGCAGAAUAAGCACCGGCUAACUACGUGCCAGCAGCCGCGGUAAUACGUAGGGUGCAAGCGUUAAUCGGAAUUACUGGGCGUAAAGCGCGCAGGCGGUUCGGAAAGAAAGAUGUGAAAUCCAGAGCUUAACUUUGGAACUGCAUUUUUAACUACCGAGCUAGAGUGUGUCAGAGGAGGUGGAAUUCCGCGUGUAGCAGUGAAUGCGUAGAUAUGCGGAGGAACACCGAUGGCGAAGGCAGCCUCCUGGGAUAACACUGACGCUCAUGCACGAAAGCGUGGGGAGCAAACAGGAUUAGAUACCCUGGUAGUCCACGCCCUUAAACGAUGUCAACUAGCUGCUGGGGCCUUCGGCCUUGGUAGCGCAGCUAAUGCGUGAAGUUGACCGCCUGGGGAGUACGGUCGCAAGAUUAAAACUCAAAGGAAUUGACGGGGACCCGCACAAGCGGUGGAUGAUGUGAUUAAUCUGAUGCAACGCGAAAAACCUGUUCUACCCUUGACAUGUCUUUUGGAAUCCCGAAGAGAUUUGGGAGUGCUCGCAAGAGAACCGAACACAGGUGCUGCAUGGCUGUCGUCAGCUCGUGUCGUGAGAUGUUGGGUUAAGUCCCGCAACGAGCGCAACCCUUGUCAUUAGUUGCUACGAAAGGGCACUCUAUCGAGACUGCCGGUGACAAACCGGAGGAAGGUGGCGACGUCAAGUCCUCAUGGCCCUUAUGGGUAGGGCUUCACACGUCAUACAAUGGUCGGGACAGAGGGUCGCCAACCCGCGAGGGGAGCCAAUCCCAGAAACCCGAUCGUAGUCCGAUCGGCAGUCUGCAACUCGACUGCGAAGUCGAACCGCUAGUAAUCGCGGAUCAGCAUGUCGGUGGAAUACGUUCCCGGGUCUUGUACACACCGCCCGUCACACCAUGGGGAGUGGGUUUUACCAGAAGUAGUUAGCCUAACCGUAAGGAGGGCGAUUACCACGGUAGGAUUCAUGACUGGGGUGAAGUCGUAACAAGGUAG